rnacentral:rRNA from 1 species
AUGCUUAACACAUGCAAGUCGAACGAGAACAUCACCUUCGGGUGGUUAGUAAAGCGGCAGACGGGUGAGUAACACGUGGAUAAUCUGCCCUUAGGACUGGAAUAACCCAGGGAAACUUGAGCUAAUACCGGGUAAGACCACAUAACCUUGGUUAAGUGGUAAAAGCGGGGGAUCUCUUCGGAGACCUCGUGCCUAAGGAUGAGUCCGCGGCCCAUCAGCUAGUUGGUAGGGUAAUGGCCUACCAAGGCGAGGACGGGUAGCUGGUCUGAGAGGAUGAGCAGUCACACUGGAACUGAGACACGGUCCAGACUCCUACGGGAGGCAGCAGUGGGGAAUAUUGCGCAAUGGGCGAAAGCCUGACGCAGCAACGCCGUGUGAGGGAUGAAGGCCUUCGGGUUGUAAACUUCUGUCAGCAGGAAAGAUGGGGAAACAGGUUAAUAGCCUGUUAUUUUGACGGUACCUGCAAAGGAAGCACCGGCUAACUCUGUGCCAGCAGCCGCGGUAAUACAGAGGGUGCAAGCGUUGUUCGGAAUCAUUGGGCGUAAAGCGCGCGUAGGCGGUUUAGUAAGUCAGAUGUGAAAUCCCGAGGCUCAACCUCGGAACUGCAUUUGAUACUGCUAGACUUGAAUCUCGGAGAGGGUGGCGGAAUUCCCGGUGUAGAGGUGAAAUUCGUAGAUAUCGGAAGGAACACCAGUGG